GCAGUGGCUCUGAAAUGAACUC
rnacentral:miRNA from 1 species